CACCAUGUGAAGGACUUGUUUGCUUCUCCUUCCAUCAUGAUUGUAAGUUUGCUGAAGCCUCCCCAGCCAUGCUGAAUGGUGUGAUUUCAACACAAGACGGCUGGUCCUUUUUCUAUAAUGCCGUGGUGAAUGUGCCAAAUCCAGUGAUGGAGAACCACCAGAAGGCAAGCAAGACGAGGACCAAGAAGAAAAAGUCCAAAUGAAGCAGAACACCACUUUACUGAAUGUGAUGUGAUCAUAGAUGACUACAGCCUAGAACUCCUGGCCUCAACCACCCACAGUGCUGGGAUUCCAAGUGUGAGCUACCAUGGCCAGCCAAUCUCACGUCUUCUGACUCCAGCUACUAUGGCAUUUCCACUAUGCCUUUUCUUGCCAGUGAUGAGUGAGGUCAGCUGCUAUCCAGUAAAUGAAAUGGCUCCAGUUUUUCAUUUCCUCUUGAUUGUCUUGUCUAGUGGUUGCAUUAAAUCUGGAAGUACU